CCCCCCCCCUCCUCCCUCUACGCACACACUCCUCCUCCCCGCUCCCCUCCCCGCCCGCCGCCUCCUUUCACACGGCCGCCCCGCCGGGGGCGAGGGGUGCCCGGCCCCCCGUGGCGGCGGCGCGGCGGUGCGGAGCCGGGCGGUGCUCCGGGCUGGCCCGGGGGGGGGGCCCGGGGGCGGCGCGCCCCCGCCCCGCGCCCGCCCGCGCCCCGCACGCUCGCCCCGCGCCCAUGCAACAACGCAGGGACGCGCACACGCGCACACACACGUACACACGCACACACACACACGUACACACACGGCCCCCCCCCUUCCCCUCCCGCCCCCCAUCCAGCAAUCAUGGCUGCGCCGCCCGCACGCUCCGAUUGGGGCUCCGCGAGCGCCACCGCCUGUCCUGGUCCCGAGGCUCCUCCCGGAGGGGUUUAACCCGUUGGCACCUGUUUGGUUGUGAUUUCUUGCCUUGGAAGGAGAAAAAAAUGCCACUCUGGAGGUUUAUGCCCCGCAGGAAGAAGGUCAGAAAUCAGAUGGAAACCAGUAAAAAGAAAUGAUCCCAGAGCAAAGCGAGCGAUGCUCCGUGGGGUUGCACCUGCAGGUCCCAACAGGGUGCGCCGUGAGGAACAAACAGCCUUUAGAUCGGGCACAUCACCCGAGCACAUCAAUGAGUGACCCUUAGGGAAGAGGCCCAGCAGGAGCCUGAAGGGUCACAGUGAGUGGUUCCCACAGCUCCAGCAGGAACAGCUGCAGCCGGAGCCACCAAAGGACACAGAGCAGCCCAGGUCUCACCACCUCUCACAUAGGACCACGCUGUCCCCACAAAUAAAUGAAGCAGAAACCGUAAAUCCUCGCUGUUUUCUACAGAAGUGGUGUAAAUUAAACCCAAAUUGUCAUUCCUGCUGGUCCUGGUGCCCAACAGUGCCCUCGGAUCCUGCCCUGGGGCAGCCAGAGGCCCUUUGCUUACACAAACAUCGCUCUUCCCAACAAGCAGUGCUUCUGCUGGAACACCUGGAGCACAGCAUCAGCGGUUCUGCUGCAAGCACAGCUCCAUGGGAACCGUU
rnacentral:lncRNA from 1 species